UACGAGGGGUCCAAGCGUUGCUCGGAAUCAUUGGGCGUAAAGCGAGUGUAGGUGGCUUUGUAAGUCAGGAGUGAAAGCCCUGGGCCUAACCCAGGAAGUGCUUUUGAUACUGCAAAGCUUGAAUGUGGGAGAGGAUCGUGGAAUUCCAGGUGUAGUGGUGAAAUACGUAGAUAUCUGGAGGAACACCGGUGGCGAAGGCGGCAUCCUGGACCAAUUCUGACACUGAGGAGCGAAAGCCAGGGGAGCAAACGGG
rnacentral:rRNA from 1 species